AUCUGGUCGCUCAACGAUCAAACGGCCAUUGAUACUGUUAGACUUGAAUUAUAAGGAAGUAACUAGAAUAUGUAGUGUAGCGGUGAAAUGCUUAGAUAUUACAUGGAAUACCAAUUGCGAAGGCAGGUUACUACUUAUGGAUUGACGCUGAUGGACNAAAGCGUGGGGAGCGAACAGGAUUAGAUACCCUGGUAGUCCACGCCGUAAACGAUGGAUACUAGCUGUUGGGAGCAAUCUCAGUGGCUAAGCGAAAGUGAUAAGUAUCCCACCUGGGGAGUACGUUCGCAAGAAUGAAACUCAAAGGAAUUGACGGNNGNCCGCACAAGCGGUGGAGCAUGUGGUUUAAUUCGAUGAUACGCGAGGAACCUUACCAAGGCUUAAAUGUAGAUUGACAGGACUGGAAACAGUUUUUUCUUCGGACAAUUUACAAGGUGCUGCAUGGUUGUCGUCAGCUCGUGCCGUGAGGUGUCAGGUUAAGUCCUAUAACGAGCGCAACCCCUGUUGUUAGUUGCCAGCGAGUCAUGUCGGGAACUCUAACGAGACUGCCAGUGCAAACUGUGAGGAAGGUGGGGAUGACGUCAAAUCAUCACGGCCCUUACGCCUUGGGCUACACACGUGCUACAAUGGACGGUACAGAGAGCAGCCACUGCGCAAGCAGGAGCGAAUCUACAAAACCGUUCU
rnacentral:rRNA from 1 species